GACGAACGCUGGCGGCGUGCUUAACACAUGCAAGUCGAACGAAGAGCGACGGAAGCUUGCUUCUAUCAAUCUUAGUGGCGAACGGGUGAGUAACGCGUAAUCAACCUGCCCUUCAGAGGGGGACAACAGUUGGAAACGACUGCUAAUACCGCAUACGAUCUAAUCUCGGCAUCGAGGAUGGAUGAAAGGUGGCCUCUACAUGUAAGCUAUCACUGAAGGAGGGGAUUGCGUCUGAUUAGCUAGGUGGAGGGGUAACGGCCCACCAAGGCGAUGAUCAGUAGCCGGUCUGAGAGGAUGAACGGCCACAUUGGGACUGAGACACGGCCCAGACUCCUACGGGAGGCAGCAGUGGGGAAUCUUCCGCAAUGGACGAAAGUCUGACGGAGCAACGCCGCGUGAGUGAUGACGGCCUUCGGGUUGUAAAGCUCUGUUAAUCGGGACGAAAGGCCUUCUUGCGAAUAGGGAGAAGGAUUGACGGUACCGGAAGAGAAAGCCACGGCUAACUACGUG
rnacentral:rRNA from 1 species